rnacentral:rRNA from 1 species
UACGGAGGGUGCAAGCAUUAAUCGGAAUUAUUGGGCGUAAAGGGCGCGUAGGCGGAGAGGUAAGUCAGAUGUGAAAUCCCGAAACUCAAUUUCGGAGCUGCAUUUGAGACUAUUUUUCUUGAGGAUUGGCGGAGAGAACGGAAUUCCACGUGUAGCGGUGAAAUGCGUAGAUAUGUGGAAGAACACCGGUGGCGAAAGCGGUUUUCUAGCUUAUUCCUGACGCUGAGGCGCGAGAGCAAGGGGAGCAAACAGG